GUUUAGCAAAGUCAUACUUGUGUACAUUUAAAAUUUAAUAUGUUGAAUAAAAUUGUUGAGUGUUUUAGGUUUUCCGUUUGCAUUAAAUAUGGAAGCGGGAAAUUUAGUAAAAGACAAAGGAUUUCUUUGUCUACUAAUCAUCCCGUGCAUUUUUGAUGAGGGAAGAUUAGUAGACAAAGAAAUCUUUUGUUUUUUACUAAAUUUCCCGGGGAAAUUUAGUAGACAAAGCGAAAUAUUCCCUGUUGCAUGCGUAAUGAGGAAAAUACGGGAUUUAAAUUCCCUAUGAGAACAAUAGAAAACGAGGCGAUCAUGAUAUUAC